UACGGAGGAUCCGAGCGUUAUCCGGAUUUAUUGGGUUUAAAGGGUGCGCAGGCGGGAUGUUAAGUCGGCGGUGAAAUUUUGCAGCUCAACUGUAAAAGUGCCUUCGAUGCUGGCUUUCUUGAGUGUGGAUGAAGUAGGCGGAAUUUGUGGUGUAGCGGUGAAAUGCUUAGAUAUCACGAGGAACUCCGAUUGCGCAGGCAGCUUACUAAACCACUACUGACGCUCAUGCACGAAGGCGUGGGGAUCAAACAGGAUUAGA
rnacentral:rRNA from 1 species